CACAUUAGUAUAACAAUAUGACCAUACAAUUGUAGCUGACGGAAGAUGAAUCUAUAUGUUGUUUGAGAGAAUAAACCAAAUGCAUCUUCCAUUGUCCUUCAACACUACUGGUGUUAACUAAACAGUGUGUUUGUGAAGUCAUGAUGAUCUCGUUGCAGGCUGUCAGGCUGUGGAGUCACAGAGGAAGGCUGUGCUUCUCUGGUCUCAGCUCUGAGGUCAAACCCCUCACACCUGAGAGAGCUGGACCUGAGCUACAAUCACCCAGGAGACUCAGGAGUCAGACUGCUCUCUGCUGGACUGGAGGAUCCACACUGCAGACUGGAGAAACUCAAGCUGUCAGGCUGUCUAGUCACAGAGGAAGCCUGUGAUUCUCUGGCCUCAGUUUUCAGUUCAAACCCCUCACACCUGAGAGAGCUGGACCUGAGUAACAAUGACCUGAAGGAUUCAGGCGUGAAGCUGCUCUCUGCUGGACUAGGGAAUCCCCACUGUAAACUGGAGACUCUGAGGCUGUCAGGCUGUCUAGUCACAGAGGAAGGCUGUGAUUCUCUGGUCUCAGCUCUGAGGUCAAACCCCUCACACCUGAGAGAGCUGGACCUGAGUAACAAUG